rnacentral:ncRNA from 1 species
GAAAAUACUAUGAUGAGAAAAGUAAACUAAAGGUAUAUUUCCAGAGAGAAUCUGCAAUAGCUGGAAGCAGAUUUAAAUGAAAUUAGUUGAAAACUAACUCGGAGUGACUCUAAUCCAGUCCGUUUGUCAUCACGUUACGAUGAUUCUUAAGUGGCCUAUUAUUUUAGGCAAUUAAGGGUGGAACCACGGGAAUAUAUGCUCUCGUCCCUUUU